rnacentral:lncRNA from 1 species
UCUUCGGACUGUGAGGAUAUGUGUCAAUCAGAGCCGUUCUGUGCAGUCAGAUCGAGUGAGCGUGUGUGCCAGUUGUGUCUGUCUUUUCUUGUUGUGUGUACUUGAUGCGAUUGAUACUUAUCAUUGUUAUAAGUNNNNNNNNNNNNNNNNNNNNNNNNNNNNUGUAUUUUUAUGCUUAAAGUUUUAAAAAUUUGUGUGGUUUGAACUUUUGGUUUGUAGAUGCUUAUUGCUAAUUGUUGAUGAUCCGACAUGAUGUAAAACUGUAUUGUUGAUGAUCCGACACGAUGUAAAACUGUAUUGUUGAUGAUCCGGCAUGAUGUAAAACUGCAUGUGAUGAAGAUUUUGUUGAAAAUAUAAGAUUAUUUUCUUUUGAGUAAGUGAAAAUGAAUUUUUCACUAGAGUGAGAAAGGAGUAGGAUGUAAGUAGAUCCUAAUGAGUGUUGUUAUAUGUUUGUUUAUAACAUGUGGUAGAUUGAUUACUAGAACUUAGUGUGGUUCUUUAAUUGAACUAUGUGAAUGUAUUCUCAUGAUGAGAACUUGUUUGAGAACAUGCUAUGUUUUAUACAUGUUUGAGUAUAUGUUGUAAGUAUGCGAACAAAUGAAAUGUAAUGCAUGUACUUGACUCGAUGUCUUGUGUACAUGGAUGUUUUGUUGUCUUACAUAUACUUUAGUUAUAAAUAUAUGUAUUGACAUGUUGUUGUGUUUGCGUAUGCUAGUUGGUAUGAAGGUUGUUACACUAGUAUAUGUGGGGAAUAGAAUACUUAUCUAUUUGCAUAGUGGCGUAUAUGUCAAGA